rnacentral:rRNA from 1 species
GAUGGUACAAAGGCCUGCGAGACCGCGAGGUUUANCCAAUCCCAUNAAACCAUUCUCAGUUCAGAUUGUAGGCUGCAACUCGCCUACAUGAAGCCGGAAUCGCUAGUAAUCGUGGAUCAGCAUGCCACGGUGAAUACGUUUCCCGGNUCUUGUACACACCGCCCGUCACACCACGAGAGUUUGUAACACCCGAAGUCGGUGGGGUAACCGCAAGGAGCCANCCGCCUAAGGUGGGACAGAUGAUUGGGGUGAAGUCGUAACAAGGUAGCC